AUACCUUUCUCGGCCUUUUGGCUAAGAUCAAGUGUAGUAUCUGUUCUUAUCAGUUUAAUAUCUGAUAUGUGGUUCAUCGGUCCACAUGAUAUUAACUCUAUUUUUUUAGGGAGAAUGCCCGUUAAGAUAGCUUGCUAUCUGGGCUUUCACGAGUCGCUCCUACGUUGCACUACUGCACGGGCCUGGCUCAACCCAU
rfam:Brassica napus, WGS project CCCW01000000 data, contig: 24495